rnacentral:rRNA from 1 species
AUGAACGCUAGCGACAGGCUUAACACAUGCAAGUCGAGGGGCAGCAUAAAGUAGCAAUACUUGGUGGCGACCGGCGCACGGGUGAGUAACACGUAUGCAACCUGCCUGUAAGCGGGGAAUAACCCGUUGAAAGACGGACUAAUACCGCAUAAUACUAAAUUACUGCAUGGUAAUUUAUUUAAACAUUUAUGGCUUACAGAUGGGCAUGCGCAUGAUUAGCUAGUUGGAGAGGUAACGGCUCCCCAAGGCAACGAUCAUUAGGGGUUCUGAGAGGAAGGUCCCCCACACUGGUACUGAGACACGGACCAGACUCCUACGGGAGGCAGCAGUGAGGAAUAUUGGUCAAUGGACGAGAGUCUGAACCAGCCAAGUCGCGUGCAGGAAGAAUGUCCCUAUGGAUUGUAAACUGCUUUUGCAGGGGAAUAAAGUGCAUCACGUGUGAUGUUUUGUAUGUACUCUGCGAAUAAGGAUCGGCUAACUCCGUGCCAGCCGCCGC